UAAUAAAAGUGAAUUUUUAUGGCACUUUUAAAACAAUCCAUAUCCACCUUGUGUGCAAUGUUUUUUUUACAUUUUCAACUCUUUUAAAUUUUUAUUUUGUCUGAAAUAUAUUAUGAAUAACUUAAUUCAAAAAAUA
rnacentral:misc_RNA from 1 species